UUUGGCAGUGACUGUAAAAUCCUUGGAGCUAUCUUAUCUAAUAAUGUCUUUGUUGUAUUUAGUGUUGAGUAGCAAUUGGUGGAGAUGUAUGUAAUCACUGCUGGGUAGCUUUAGUGCAGUUUUAUGCUUACAAGCCUCUGCUAUAGUAGCAUUUAGUUUUAUGCCAUUAGGAACCAUGCACAAUGAAACUAGUUUGAUGAUGACUGGUGUAAGAAACUCAGCUGAAUUAGUUUGAUGUUAAAGUUGCAUGUUUUUGGUAAGGAAAUGAGAAGGAUAAUGAAAGGAACCUUUCAAAUAAAUUUUCAUGUUGAACAAAUGAAUGUCUAACAAACCAAUGUUUUUGCUGUUUUUCCUUCUUUCAGUACAAGUCAUUCAAACAUCUUUAGAGAUGUCAACAACAUUGCUCAAUUUUUAAGCAACGAGACUUUUGUAAAUGAUUCUGCAUCACAACCUUUUGAAGAGGUCUCCAUUUUGUUGGUUCAUCAAUUUUGAGGGUCUAACUUGAGA
rnacentral:lncRNA from 1 species